rnacentral:rRNA from 1 species
CCUGCACUCUGGGAUAAGCCUGGGAAACUGGGUCUAAUACCGGAUAUGAGCUCCUGUCGCAUGGCGGGGGUUGGAAAGGUUUACUGGUGCAGGAUGGGCCCGCGGCCUAUCAGCUUGUUGGUGGGGUAAUGGCCUACCAAGGCGACGACGGGUAGCCGGCCUGAGAGGGCGACCGGCCACACUGGGACUGAGACACGGCCCAGACUCCUACGGGAGGCAGCAGUGGGGAAUAUUGCACAAUGGGCGAAAGCCUGAUGCAGCGACGCCGCGUGAGGGAUGACGGCCUUCGGGUUGUAAACCUCUUUCAGCAGGGACGAAGCGAGAGUGACGGUACCUGCAGAAGAAGCACCGGCCAACUACGUGCCAGCAGCCGCGGUAAUACGUAGGGUGCGAGCGUUGUCCGGAAUUACUGGGCGUAAAGAGCUCGUAGGCGGUUUGUCGCGUCGUCCGUGAAAACUUGGGGCUCAACCCCAAGCUUGCGGGCGAU